ACGGAAGGCAGCAGUGGGGAAUAUUGCACAAUGGGGGCAACCCUGAUGCAGCGACGCCGCGUGAGUGAAGAAGUAUUUCGGUAUGUAAAGCUCUAUCAGCAGGGAAGAUAAUGACGGUACCUGACUAAGAAGCACCGGCUAAAUACGUGCCAGCAGCCGCGGUAAUACGCAUGGUGCAAGCGUUAUCCGGAUUUACUGGGUGUAAAGGGAGCGUAGACGGCAAGGCAAGUCUGAAGUGAAAACCCGGGGCUCAACCCCGGGACUGCAUUGGAAACUGUCAGGCUUGAGUGCAGGAGAGGUAAGUGGAAUUCCUAGUGUAGCGGUGAAAUGCGUAGAUAUUAGGAGGAACACCAGUGGCGAAGGCGGCUUACUGGACUGUAACUGACGUUGAGGCUCGAAAGCGUGGGGAGCAAACAGGAUUAGAUACCCUGGUA
rnacentral:rRNA from 1 species